UUACAGUGAAUGAUAGUGGACUGUUCUGUUAUCCAAAGUCUUCUUCUUUUUAUUAUUCUUCUAACCAAAAUUUCUGCAUCUAAUUCAGCUUCAACCGUUUAAUGUAGAAACUUCGUUCAAACUUUGUAACGUAGGUUUUGAA